UACGAAGGGGGCUAGCGUUGCUCGGAAUCACUGGGCGUAAAGCGCACGUAGGCGGCUUUUUAAGUCAGGGGUGAAAUCCUGGAGCUCAACUCCAGAACUGCCUUUGAUACUGGGAAGCUUGAGUCCGGGAGAGGUGAGUGGAACUGCGAGUGUAGAGGUGAAAUUCGUAGAUAUUCGCAAGAACACCAGUGGCGAAGGCGGCUCACUGGCCCGGUACUGACGCUGAGGUGCGAAAGCGUGGGGAGCAAACAGG
rnacentral:rRNA from 1 species